CGCCGUGUGGGGCAGGAGGCGGCUGCGGGCGUUUUAACCGGCGCCAGCGAAGGGGGACAGAGGAGCAGAGACUGUGGCGACUGCGGCCUUGCCUUCUUCGCCCGCCCUCCUCCUCCUCUCCUUCCUCGGCGCCGCAGAGCCUCUCGGCGGGCGUCGGGAGGCUGCGGCCCGGCCCCGUGUUGGUGUCGCAAGCGCAGAGCGGUCGUGGCUUGGGUGACGUGACGCGACGCGACGCAUCCCGGCUACCUACCGCGGUGACUCGGUUGCCGCCCGUUUCCUCAGGCGCGGGGCUGAGGUGAUCGGCGGCGAAGUGCUCUCUGCAGCUAUUUAUAGCCGUAGUCUGAGCUGUGUCUCAGAAUUAACACCUCGUGACGGGGAUGUUGCAAAAGAAACUCCGCGUUCGGGGUGUUUGCUGCUUUAUACGUCUGUCACUGCAUCCUUCUUUUGAAGGUUACGUGCCAAGGUGUUUCGUUGUUUUUGGGUUUUUUUUAAUGAAAGGGUAGAACUGCAAAAUCAAAACGUGUCCAGCAGCCCAGGUUCGUAGCGCUCGCAGGAGGGACUGUCUGGAUUUUACAGCCGCGGGCACACGCUGGAACUUGCUUUGCCUCCUAAACAUGAACCCAUGCAUUAAGACGACGUGCCCGGUUGUCCCAGUUCCCGUGAACUGCAGCUUCUAGACAAGCAGACCUCCAGGAGGAACAAAGCCACAGGAAGGUGACACAUGCAGUUGCCGGUACUACCCUGAACCCGCUUGCAG